rnacentral:rRNA from 1 species
AUUGAACGCUGGCGGCAGGCUUAACACAUGCAAGUCGAACGAGUGGCGGACGGGUGAGUAAUGCUUAGGAAACUGGCUUAUGGAGGGGGAUAACUACGGGAAACUGUAGCUAAUACCGCAUACCAUAGGAUGUGCCCAAGUGGGAUUAGCUAGUUGGUGGGGUAAAGGCUCACCAAGCCGACGAUCCCUAGCUGGUCUGAGAGGAUGACCAGCCACACUGGAACUGAGACACGGCCCGGACUCCUACGGGAGGCAGCAGUGGGGAAUAUUGCACAAUGGGGGCAAGCCUGACGCAGCCAUGCCGCGUGAAUGAAGAAGGCCUUCGGGUUGUAAAGUACUUUCAGUGGGGAGGCGUUAACCACAGAAGAAGCACCGGCUAACUCCGUGCCAGCAGCCGCGGUAAUUC